rnacentral:tRNA from 1 species
AUUACAGUGGCUUAGCGAUAUAGCAGCUGAUUGUAAUCAGCAGGUCGAAUGUUCAAAUCCCUCCAGUGGCU